GCCUAUGUAGUGCUAAUGGUUAACAUGCGUCCUUGGUACGGAUGCGAAGAGAGUUCGAUUCUCUCCAUAGGCUC
rnacentral:tRNA from 1 species